rnacentral:ncRNA from 2 species
GGGGCUGACCGAAAGGUCUUGGUCCACCGAAACGGCGUGGGGAUCCCGC